rnacentral:misc_RNA from 1 species
GAUGAAGAACGCAGUGAAAUGCGAUAAGUAAUGUGAAUUGCAGAAUUCAGUGAAUCAUCGAAUCUUUGAACGCACCUUGCACUCCUUGGUAUUCCGAGGAGUACGCCUGUUCGAGUGUUAUGAAGCUCUCAAAACGCAAUUGGCUUAAACCUGAUUGUUGUUUUGGAUUUGAACUUUGCCGUGUUAUAACGGCUGGUUUUAAAAGUAUUAGCUGGUACUAGAACGAAUUGGUUCUACUCAACGUGAUAAUUAUCUGAUCGUUGAGGACAUUCCUUUCACGAGGAAUGGCCAUAGUAAAUUCAAUGGACUGCUUCUAAUCUGGCUUUAAUUCUUUAUUGGAUUAACCACUUUUCAAAUCUGACCUCGAAUCAGGUGGGACUACCCGCUGAACUUAAGCAUAUCAAUAAGCGGAGGA